rnacentral:tRNA from 1 species
GGAGGUGAAGCUCAGUGGUAGAGCACAUUCUCAGCAUUCAUGGGACCCUGGGUUCAAUCUCCAGCACCACAA